UUGGAAGAUCCGUGCCCCGGAGAACUGUUGUUUGAGAGACAUGUUUUAAUCUGGUUUGAUGAAAACAAACCGAUGUCCGUACUUGGGGUCUGUCAGCUGGAAGGUCCUGGCUUUCAGCAGUGACUUCCCACACCCAGUACUAUGAUGAUCAGUUCUACAGUAUUUACUUAUAGGUGUAAUAUUUGUUAAUGGUUUUAAAAAUGUAAUUAUUGUAUUUGUAAACUGUACCUUCAUUCCAGUAAGGCAGUUAGACACUUGGGUUUUAGCAUUUUCCAUUCCUGAAACGGAUGUAAUUUAAAUUGUGGUAUGUAAAUUUAUUAGUAGUACUGUUGAAUGGCACAAUGCUUACAGAGAUACAGUGCAUUUUGUCAAUAUAUAAAAUUUAAAUAUAAUAUUGAUAGUUAUCGUAAAGGGGGUGCCACGCAUCAAGAACCUUAAAUGGAACCAGAAACAAAACACCCAACUUACUUUCCUUCACUCUUUACUAUGUCUCCCUCUAGUGCUCAAGAAAACUUCUAGCUUCAGUUUAGUGGGUUAAAUUCAGAACCUAUUUCAGAAAAAAAAAAUUCUAAAGUUACAGCAUAUUCAAAGAGAAACAUUAAUUACCACUUUUUAAAGAGCUUUUUUUUCAAACUGCAAAUUUCAUAAAAAUGCAAACUGUGUAAACA
rnacentral:lncRNA from 1 species